CCUACGGGAGGCUGCAGUGGGGAAUAUUGGACAAUGGGCGAAAGCCUGAUCCAGCCAUGCCGCGUGUGUGAAGAAGGCCUUCGGGUUGUAAAGCACUUUCAGUGGGGAAGAAAGCCUUGGGGCUAAUACCCUCGAGGAAGGACAUCACCCACAGAAGAAGCACCGGCUAACUCCGUGCCAGCAGCCGCGGUAAUACGGAGGGUGCGAGCGUUAAUCGGAAUUACUGGGCGUAAAGCGCGCGUAGGCGGUCUGAUAAGCCGGUUGUGAAAGCCCCGGGCUCAACCUGGGAACGGCAUCCGGAACUGUCAGGCUAGAGUGCAGGAGAGGAUGGUAGAAUUCCCGGUGUAGCGGUGAAAUGCGUAGAGAUCGGGAGGAAUACCAGUGGCGAAGGCGGCCUUCUGGACUGACACUGACGCUGAGGUGCGAAAGCGUGGGUAGCAAACAGGAUUAGAUACCCGUGUAGUC
rnacentral:rRNA from 1 species